UGUAUCACCAACGACAGGAUUCGAACCUGCGGGAAGAUCCCAGUGAAUUUGUCAUCCAUCGCUUUAACCACUCGGCCACAC